AACGAACGCUGGCGGCAUGCCUAACACAUGCAAGUCGAACGAGACCUUCGGGUCUAGUGGCGCACGGGUGCGUAACGCGUGGGAACCUGCCCUUAGGUUCGGAAUAACUCCCCGAAAGGGGUGCUAAUACCGGAUAAUGUCUUCGGACCAAAGAUUUAUCGCCUUUGGAUGGGCCCGCGUUGGAUUAGCUAGUUGGUAGGGUAAAAGCCUACCAAGGCGACGAUCCAUAGCUGGUCUGAGAGGAUGAUCAGCCACACUGGGACUGAGACACGGCCCAGACUCCUACGGAAGGCAGCAGUGGGGAAUAUUGGACAAUGGACGAAAGCCUGAUACAGCAAUGCCGCGUGAGUGAUGAAGGCCUUAGGGUUGUAAAGCUCUUUUAGCCGGGAUGAUAAUGACAGUACCGGGAGAAUAAGCUCCGGCUAACUACGUG
rnacentral:rRNA from 1 species